CACGUAGGGUGCGAGCGUUGUCCGGAAUUAUUGGGCGUAAAGAGCUCGUAGGCGGUGUGCCGCGUCGGCCGUGAAAACCUGCAGCUUAACUGUGGGCUUGCGGUCGAUACGGGCAUCACUGGAGUUCGGCAGGGGAGACUGGAAUUCCUGGUGUAGCGGUGAAAUGCGCAGAUAUCAGGAGGAACACCGGUGGCGAAGGCGGGUCUCUGGGCAGUUGCUGACACUGAGGCGCGACAGCGUGGGGAGCAAACAGG
rnacentral:rRNA from 1 species